rnacentral:pre_miRNA from 13 species
UGACAUGCUGGGAACAUAGCCUCAUUUAGUUAUGAUAAAUCUACAUUUGACCAUUCAAAAUUAUUUGUUAUCACAAGUCUAGUUAUAUCAUUGAUAUUGAAAAACAAAUGACAACUAUUUUUUAAUUUAUUUUUUAGUUUAUAAA